rnacentral:rRNA from 1 species
AACGAACGCUGGCGGCAGGCCUAACACAUGCAAGUCGAACGUGAAGCCACCUUCGGGUGGUGGAAAGUGGCAGACGGGUGAGUAACGCGUGGGAAUCUACCCAAUGGUACGGAAUAACUCAGGGAAACUUGAGCUAAUACCGUAUGUGCCCGAAAGGGGAAAGAUUUAUCGCCAUUGGAUGAGCCCGCGUCGGAUUAGCUAGUUGGUGGGGUAACGGCCCACCAAGGCGGCGAUCCGUAGCUGGUCUGAGAGGAUGAUCAGCCACACUGGGACUGAGACACGGCCCAGACUCCUACGGGAGGCAGCAGUGGGGAAUAUUGGACAAUGGGCGCAAGCCUGAUCCAGCCAUGCCGCGUGAGUGAUGAAGGCCCUAGGGUUGUAAAGCUCUUUCGACGGGGACGAUAAUGACGGUACCCGUAGAAGAAGCCCCGGCUAACUUCGUGCCAGCAGCCGCCGUAAGAC